rnacentral:rRNA from 1 species
AGUGAACGCUGGCGGUAGGCCUAACACAUGCAAGUCGAACGGCAGCACAGUAAGAGCUUGCUCUUACGGGUGGCGAGUGGCGGACGGGUGAGGAAUACAUCGGAAUCUACUUUUUCGUGGGGGAUAACGUAGGGAAACUUACGCUAAUACCGCAUACGACCUACGGGUGAAAGCAGGGGAUCUUCGGACCUUGCGCGAUUGAAUGAGCCGAUGUCGGAUUAGCUAGUUGGCGGGGUAAAGGCCCACCAAGGCGACGAUCCGUAGCUGGUCUGAGAGGAUGAUCAGCCACACUGGAAGUGAGACACGGUGCAGACUGCUACGGGAGGCAGCAGUGGGGAAUAUUGGACAAUGGGCGGAAGCCUGAUCCAGCCAUACCGCGUGGGUGAAGAAGGCCUUCGGGGUGUAAAGCCCUUUUGUUGGGAAAGAAAAGCAGCAGGUUAAGACCCCGCUGUUCUGACGGUACCCAAAGAAUAAGCACCGGCUAACUUCGUG